UACGUAGGGAGCAAGCGUUGUCCGGAAUCAUUGGGCGUAAAGCGCGCGUAGGCGGCCCUGUAAGUCCGUUGUGAAAGUCAAAGGCUCAACCUUUGAAAGCCGAUGGAUACUGCAGGGCUAGAGUCCGGAAGAGGCGAGUGGAAUUCCUGGUGUAGCGGUGAAAUGCGCAGAUAUCAGGAGGAACACCGGUGGCGAAGGCGGGUCUCUGGGCCGAUACUGACGCUGAGGAGCGAAAGCGUGGGGAGCGAACAGG
rnacentral:rRNA from 1 species